ACGCUGGCGGCGUGCCUAAUACAUGCAAGUAGAACGCUGAAGGAGGAGCUUGCUUCUCCGGAUGAGUUGCGAACGGGUGAGUAACGCGUAGGUAACCUGCCUGGUAGCGGGGGAUAACUAUUGGAAACGAUAGCUAAUACCGCAUAAUAGCAGAUGUUGCAUGACAUUUGCUUAAAAGGUGCAAUUGCAUCACUACCAGAUGGACCUGCGUUGUAUUAGCUAGUUGGUGGGGUAACGGCUCACCAAGGCGACGAUACAUAGCCGACCUGAGAGGGUGAUCGGCCACACUGGGACUGAGACACGGCCCAGACUCCUACGGGAGGCAGCAGUAGGGAAUCUUCGGCAAUGGACGGAAGUCUGACCGAGCAACGCCGCGUGAGUGAAGAAGGUUUUCGGAUCGUAAAGCUCUGUUGUAAGAGAAGAACGAGUGUGAGAGUGGAAAGUUCACACUGUGACGGUAUCUUACCAGAAAGGGACGGCUAACUACGUGCCAGCAGCCGCGGUAAUACGUAGGUCCCGAGCGUUGUCCGGAUUUAUUGGGCGUAAAGCGAGCGCAGGCGGUUAGAUAAGUCUGAAGUUAAAGGCUGUGGCUUAACCAUAGUACGCUUUGGAAACUGUUUAACUUGAGUGCAAGAGGGGAGAGUGGAAUUCCAUGUGUAGCGGUGAAAUGCGUAGAUAUAUGGAGGAACACCGGUGGCGAAAGCGGCUCUCUGGCUUGUAACUGACGCUGAGGCUCGAAAGCGUGGGGAGCAAACAGGAUUAGAUACCCCGGUAGUCCACGCCGUAAACGAUGAGUGCUAGGUGUUAGACCCUUUCCGGGGUUUAGUGCCGCAGCUAACGCAUUAAGCACUCCGCCUGGGGAGUACGACCGCAAGGUUGAAACUCAAAGGAAUUGACGGGGGCCCGCACAAGCGG
rnacentral:rRNA from 1 species